rnacentral:lncRNA from 1 species
AGAAUGUAAAUAUUAUCUCAGUUUGAAGAUAGAAGAGGGGCAAAGAACAACAGAUGCUUUCAUUCAACAGUACUUACCAAGUGGCCACUUUGAAUUAGGCCCAUAUGAAUCCAGUUAAAGCACCAUCAGGGGCUGCCAAAACUAGAAGAUCCCAGAUGUCCUGGUGCAGGAGGUGAAUAUCUUCUCAACUGAAGACAUGGAAACAACUUAAAUGUCCAUCGACAGAUGCAUGGAUUAAGAAGAUAUGGUAUAUACACACAAUGGAAUAGUACUCAG